rnacentral:lncRNA from 1 species
AAAGGAUUCAGUCCCAGGAAUCAUCUUGGCUCUGGCUUUAGCUUGGGUUUGACCCAGGGUCUUCUAAAGAACAGCUCAGCAGAAUAAAAGGAUAAGCAAUUUAGAAUGUGUAAAUGAUGCCAAUUUUUUGGCGAGGCAGGGGAGAUGGAUCACAAGGCUGGCCUCUGCAGUUGCGAAAUCUCAAAGUUCUCGAGAACUUAUUCUUAAAUUUCUGCGCGUGCCUCAACCCACGCAGGGAAGCCGCUUCUCUCUUUAUAAGGAUGAGAAAUGAACUAGAGUUGGAGGCGGAAUUCACAGAAGCAGGAGGCCUCCUGUGUGUCUGUGCUUGGCAUGGAAGGAGCCUGAGUGGGAGAAUUGAUAUCUCACAUCAAGAGAGAUUUCCUGAAAGCUGUGAAGAUGCCAUCUGCAGUCCUCCAGCACCUUGACCACUUUGAAGGCGGCAUCUUCUGCUCUUGGAAAUACUGCAUCAGCUGCCCAAUUAACUGGAGGGAACAAUUAGCCACUAACUUCAUUGUUCUGAGAGAGUUCCUAUGGGAUGUGUUCCUUGGCCAAAGCCACAUCACAAGGGGAACAGCUGCUGACUUUUUGGGCAGGGGUCGGGGGGCGAUGAGGUGGGUGUACUCACCAUCAAAGGCUGCC